rnacentral:rRNA from 1 species
GACGAACGCUGGCGGCGUGCCUAAUACAUGCAAGUAGGACGCAGUUGUGAAUGGGGGAGUAACGCGUUGGUAACUGCCUAUUAGAGGGGGAUAACCAUUGGAAACGAUAGCUAAUUCCGUAUACUAGUAGAUGGAACUGCGUUGUAUUAGCUAGUAGGUAGGGUAAUGGCCUACCUGGGCAACGAUACAUAGCCGGCCUGCAAGGGUGAUCGGCCGCACUGGGACUGGGGCACGGCCCAAACUCCUACGGGAGGCAGCAGGGGGGAAUCUUGUGCAAUGGGGGGAACCCUGACCGAGCAACGCCGCGUGAGUGAUGAAGGUUUUCAGAUCGUAGAGCUCUGUUGUUAAGGAGGCGGUACUUGACCAGAAAGGGACGGCUAACUACGUGCCAGCAGCCGCGGUAAUUC